UCCGAGUUGACCCCGGCGGUCUCCCGUGAGUCCCCAACCGGCCGAAACCGUUGCUGGCAACACAAAACGAGGGUUUCGCUCGUUAUAGGACUUGACCAAACAUCUCACGACACGAGCUGACGACAGCCAUGCACCACCUGUAUACCGACCACAAGGGGGGCCGUAUCUCUACGGCUUUCCGGUAUAUGUCAAACCCAGGUAAGGUUCUUCGCGUUGCAUCGAAUUAAUCCACAUGCUCCUCCGCUUGUGCGGGCCCCCGUCAAUUCCUUUGAGUUUCAACCUUGCGGUCGUACUCCCCAGGUGGAUUACUUAACGCUUUCGCUUUGCCGCUGAGCGGUGUAUCGCCAACAGCUAGUAAUCAUCGUUUACAGCGUGGACUAC
rnacentral:misc_RNA from 1 species